GCUGAAGAGGCUUUACAAAAACAUCCUGCCAUCUAUUUUUAGAAGAACCCAAAGGAAGCAGUUGUUCAUCAAAAACAGGGACACCGGCUGAUGAGACAGUUGUAAGAAAUUUCUUUAAUAUAAGAGAUGAUAAUGAUAAUAAGAAACAUUAUUUAGAAAAAAAGCAAAUAAUGAAAAUAAUGGACAUGGAUAAAAAAAAGAUUGCCACCUAUCAGACGUUUAUUAAAACUUUUAAAUAAAAAUAUUUUUAAUAAGACCAGAAGCUCCCAUGCUAUCACCUUGAGUACCAACCUGUUGUCUGUAGCUCUGCUGCUGCUGGAUCCUGUGACUCUCACUGAAGUCGAGACACUGACAGCAGGAUCACAGCACAUUAAGUGUUACUGUUAUUACAGUGAUAUUCAAUGUUUUUUCAAAAACAUUUAAACAUGAACAGUUGGCACAGCUUUCCUCUUGAAAUGUGCACUUACUGAAUACUGAAAACAACAUUUACAGAAAAAAAAUCUGAACUUUUGAUGCGCAGGUCUAACUGUAUAUCUCUGUGAACGUAGAAUAAGAUUUGAAAUAUCAGUUUUAUCUUUUAUUUUCUGUUUAUGAACGCCCACAUAAACUUGGGUUGUAAAACAUAUAUUUGAAUAAAAGAAAUCAAUUAAAGAAGGUCUGAACUGAUAUGACAAACCCAUUUUUUUUUUACAAUUCUUUAUUAAAUUAUUUUAUGUAUAUGAUAUAAAAUGAAAGCUUAGACAGAUGGAUUCAUCUUUUUUUUUAACUUUCAGUGUGUAUCAAAAGUGUUUAGAAAACAAAAUCUGCAAAUUCAACACUUAAUUAAACAAGAGACAUAAGCUGAAUUUUUUUAAACAAGAAACUGUUUUUUUUUCCUGUUUAGUUCAUAUAAACCUCCACUGUUUUAAAUAGUUUAAGCACAAUAAUUUAACACCUUUUUUGCACAACCCAUUUUCUAUAGUUCCAUUUUAUAGGAAAAUACCUAGCUAUAAUCCAAAUGUUUCUGCAGUCAGAAACAUAUAUUUAACUUAAGGGUUGCAUAAUAUUUGAGAGUUAUUUUUACAGGUGGAAACUUCAGUAAUCGUUCUGUUAUAACAUUUUUGUAUCCAUGUAUGUAAAUUGCACUUACUCAGUCUCCUAUAAGAGUUGAGAUCAUGCCAUCAGUGACACAAAGGAGGGAAAUCAUUGAGUGCAACAUGUUCUCUGUAGCUGUGCUCCUGCUGCUGCUGGUUUCUGGAUCCUGUGUAAAAUGUGAGCAGUUGACACAGACAGCAUCUGUGAAUGUACAGCCAGGUCAUCGUCUGACCAUCACCUGUCAGGUGGCUUAUUCUCUAAGCAGCUAUCGGACAGCUUGGAUCAGACAGCCUGCAGGGAAAGGACUGGAGUGGAUUGGAGAUGCACAUUAUGGAUACCCCACAUUUUACAAAGAUUCACUAAAGAACAAGUUCACCAUCAACUUAGACACUUCAAGCAAGACAGUGACUCUAAAUGGACAGAACAUGAGGCCUGAAGACACUGCUGUGUAUUACUGUGCCAGAGACCCACAGUAACACAAAACAUCAGUAGAGCUGAACAAAAACCUCUCACAGCUUCAACAUGUGUAACAUCCUCCACCAGAAGAGGAGCCCCCAGACUACAGAACACUGUUAUCUGCUGCAUGUCGCUGUUUAGCGCUGGAAAAUGCCAUGAUAAUAUAUAUUCUUUUAAAGUUAUAGUUAUAGAUAAAGUUUUAUAUUUUGUAUUUCCAAUUCAACCUUAAUAACCUGCUAAAUUUUUGACAUUUUUUAUCUGUAAUUAAGUAAUUAAUUAGUUUUAAAAAGUUCUUAAAAGUUCAUUAAAAGUUCUUCCAUCUAAACCUUUGUGUAAAACCACCUGUAAUAAAGGUUA